GCAUGGUGCUACCGGCAGCCAUGCAGGCCAAUUUAAGGUUCUCGCUCAGGAGCCACAUCUCUAGCUGCUUGACUCUGGAAGUAAGAGAUGAAUUUCAAGUAGUCCUGGUCCCCUCCUUCAUGCCAACCCUGAAUCUAGUUAGGAAGAUUCUGGAGGCAAUGCAUCUCACAAGUGACCGUAGAUGUGUGUACAA
rnacentral:ribozyme from 1 species